rnacentral:ncRNA from 1 species
GGUAAGUAUAUAAAGAAACUAUUAUGGAUAAUUAGCUAUAUAUUAAAGAAUAUCUAGACAAUCUAGUUUCUAAGAGAAAUCAGAUAAUAAACAAAGUGAAUUGAAAUAUCUUAGUAACUUUAGGAAAAGAAAUCAAACGAGAUUGUUAUUUGGUGUCAACUAAAUAACAAAAGCCUAAAAACAAAACUUGAAAAAGUAAAACGGAUAAAAAUCUGUUAGAAUAAAGGGGAACCUUCCUCUAAGGCUAAAUAUGAUAUAUAAGCGAUAGUGAAAAGUACCGUGAGGUAAAAUUUGAAAUAGUAGUUUUAUAAGCAGCUCGAGUGAAAUUUAAAUAAAUAAUAAGAGCGUACCUUUUGCAUAAUGGGUCAGCAAGUUAAUUUUAGAUGCAAGCAAUUACGAAUGUGAUUAGCUUAGAUAAACCAAUUAUGAGAAAAUGAAAAAGUAUCUAAAAUUAGACCCGAAGGCUAGUGAUCUUACCAUGGUCAGGGUUAUAAAAGCCCGAACGGGUUAUCGUUGUAUAGAUAUCCGAAGAACUGUGGUAAGUUAGUGAAAGACAAAACUGACUAGUAUAGCUGGUUUUCCGCGAAACCUAUAUGAGUAGGUAAUUUAACUAACAUCUUAGCAGGUACAGAACUGUGAUCUCGGACAAUAUUUUUGUCAACAUCGGGGGGUUGUAGUGACUUUACCGGAGAGUAUUUGCACUCGAAAUGGCAAAGAUGAAUGUUGAAUAAUCGGACAUAGUGCGAUAAGGUUGUAUGUCUAAAGGGAAACAGCCCAGAACAAGAGUUAAGGUUCCAAAAUUAUCAUUGAGUGAAAUUAAGGAUGUUUUUUUUUAAUACAAUCAGGAAAUAGGCUUAGAAGCGGCCAUUUUUUGAAGACCUCGUAACAGAGCACUGAUUAAAGAAAAAAACACCGAAAAUUUAACGGAUCUAAAUGAUAUACCGAAACCUUGUACACAUAUGUAUAAUAAUAAAAUAUUGUCUAUGUGGGGUAGCGGAACAUUGGAUAAAUAUUCAUUAUUAUUUCUUUUUAAGAAAUAAUAAGUAUGGAUAAUAAUUAUUAAUAUUUAAAACUUAAUGUUUUAAGGAUAUUUAUAUAAUAUCGAAAAUAUGAUUUAUAUAAAUAUAUAGAUGUAUAAUAUAUGUCUUUAUUAUUAAAAUUCUCCAUCAAUAUAAUCCAAGAGAGAAUGCUGACAUGAGUAACGAAAAAGGAAUAUCCUCGCCUUAAGCUUAUGGUAUUAUAUUUAAUUUUCGGUAUCUAAAAAUAUUAAUCAAAAGGUAAUUUUGAUGAUAUUUAUAUAUAAAUACUUAAAAGUUAAAAACAAAACCUUUAACAAGUAAUAAAGGUUCUGGAAAAUUUUUAACUUUAAUAAAAAAUUAUUAACUUAGCCUUAUGAAUAAAUCUAAAUAUGUUAUAUUGUAUUUAUAAUAUAACUUGUUAAAGUUUUGCAAGAUUGUAUUGUAAAAAAACAAUAUAAUAGAGUUUUAUAAAAAAGUUAAUAAUGGAGGGAUAUAUUUAUAUUGUUGUAUAAAUAUUAAGGCUAAUAUUCAAUAAAUAUAAGUAUAAUAAGGUUUAUAUAUACCGUACCUAGAUACUAUCACAAGUAAGCAAGUAGAGAAUACAAAGGCGUUUGAGUGAACAAUCAUUAAGGAACUCGGCAAAUUGACUACCGUAACUUCGGGAUAAGGAGGGCCAUUAUCAUAAGUUUAACAUACCUAAGGUAUGAUAUAAUUAAAUUUAUGGUAAGAGGAAACAUAAAAUAAUGUUGUACGACUGUUUAAUAAAAACACAGCACUCUGCAAAGAUAAAAUAUCAAAGUAUUGAGUGUGAUGUCUGCCCAAUGUCGGCUGGGUAACGAAUUUACCUUGGUUUUUAACUGAGGUUUUGAAGGACACCCCGAUAAAUGGCGGCCUUACCUAUGAGGGUCCUAAGGUAGCGAAAUACCUUGGCCGUUAAAUGCGGUCCAGCAUGGACACAUAAUCCGUUAAAAAAUCAAAAUUACUAUACCAUACUUAUGUGAUGGUAUACCAU